UGAACUACUCCCUCUGAUCUGUUUUCAGUUCUUGGAAGACAGUACAUGCCCAGCUCCCUCAGGAUCUCUACACACGUUGCUUCAUCUAUGUGGAAUAACUUUCCUCUUCACUCUUCCCUUGGCUAAACCCUAAGCUUUUUUGGGUGCUAGCUUCAAUGUCUAUUCCUCAGAAAAGUAUUUUUUUUUACAUCUUAGGCAAUGUUGGAUCCUAUUUUCAUAUACUUUAUAAUUUCCCAUUAUAGGUUUUAUCAUAAUUGUGAUCAAAUAAUUACAUAAAUUUUCCUUAAUGUCUCUCCUGCACUGCAGUUUCCAUGAAAGCAGGGUCAUGUUUAUUGCUUCAUUCCUGAAGUGAACUCAGUACCUAGCACGUAAGAGGGACAUAGUAAAUAUUUGUUUAUUCAUUAAUUUAACUGAUAGGCAGUGUUUUGACUGUUAGGGAUAUAGUAGUGAAUAAACAGAAAAAACUGAAUGAAUACAUUGAGUCAUGUUUUAUUGCUCAGUAAAGAGGUAAUUAAAGGCCAGUAUCUUUUAAUUGGGAGAGAUAAUGCUGGAUUGUACAUUUACUGUUAAAGUUCAUUGACGCAUUUCUUUAUUAUAGAAAGGAGAAAUAUGAUAGCCUUAUAUCUCUUUAACUCACACUAUGAGUUAUGGCCUAGAAAAAAAUUUUCUGAACCUCUGAGCAAUGUUUAUAAUACAUAGUUAACGCUAAAUUUCAUAUAUCGCUGAGAUAUGCAUCAGAUUUUACCUUAUUGUUGCUGUUAGCAGCUUACUGUGUGUCAUUACCAAGCACAGAAGUUGUACUGGCUUAUUUAAAACAUUUGGUUUUUGCAGGGAACCAGUUAAGUUUGAUUCCUAUAUAAAAUAGGCCAGAUACUUAGAUUAUGUCCAACUUUGAAAAUUUCCUGUAAGAUGUAGAUAACCUGUUUAAGUUGUUUACCAGCUUAAACAAGAUUCCUAAGACUUCUGUAGGAAAGAAGACUAGUAGAAGAUUGGUUAGGUGACAAUUCUCAUCCUGGAACGAUAGAAUGAGAAUUUUGGAGACCUUUUCUGAUAGAAUUUAAGAAGGAUUCAGAGAAGAGGCUGGAAGAGAAGCAAGCCUAACCCCAUGUUCAUCCCCAUCUCGGUACUAAGGCCAUGUCCUCACAGAUAGUGAGGCUGGAGAAAAGCAAGGUGGGGAGGAUUGCUGAGUAGUGCUUUCUUACUUGUGAUGUAAAAGGAACCCUAGGAAGAAGAACAGAAAGAAGAGAGGCCUCUAAGAGGAAGGAAAGCUUAUGGAGAACAGUUAACGAUGGAAGAGUAGGAACUCCCGGCGAGGUACCUGUAUGCUUUCUAAUACAAUAUACUCUUUCUUUUUACUUAAGACACCUUGUCCUAACUCAUGCUUCCUUCAGAGGAGUGCAUACGGAACUCUUCACCUGUUCCCCCCUCUCCUUCUUUCCCUCCACCCUUCCUCCUCUCUCUCCCCUCUCCCUGCUGUCGCCAAAACUCAUGCUCAAAUUUUGUUUCCUUUGUAGAAAAUAUGAACACUUGUUGGGUCUGUGAUAAUAAGAUCAUUGACUCUUGUGUCUGGAAAAGACCUGCAGAGUCCUCUAGCGUAGAUGCCCAUCUACCUAGAACACAGGGCGGUUCAUACAACCAACAUUUAUUCGGUAGCUGCUUUGUGCCCCUCAUUUUAGGGGCUGGAAAUACUCCUAACAAACAAAAACUUUGCCCUCAUAGAGCUUACAUUAGAGUGAAUACAUCAGUACACAUGGAAUAUUUCCACGUAAAGUUGAUGGAUAUCUUACAAUGAAUGAGCAAAUAGAAGAUUGGAAAAUCUGUUCCGGGUCUUUCCUUCUGUAUGACUUUCAUAGGCUAGAUGUCAUCAUCUAGUUUCUGUCUAUCUUAGUUUACUCCAAAUGCUCAUGCUCAUAGUAUAUUUAUGAGUUAUCUAGGGUUUUUUUUUUUUUCAGAAAAAGCUACAUUUAAAGAUUGUUUUCCUUGAGCUACUCUAAGCUAAAACAGGACAUACCUAUAUAUCAAGUGACCAUUUAAAAAGAACCACCGUAGAAUUCUGAACCUAGGGCAGUAUUGUGAUUAUUGUAAGAACAACCCUCUUGCAAAUCCGUUUUCGUCUGGGUUACUGAUGUGUUUGGGUUUUCUUGGCUUUAAAAGAUAGUAGAGAUGAGGUUGACUUUCUAAAUGUGAUGUUGUUUUUAUUGACUUUAGACAAAAAAGACAGUGGACAUCUUUGUAUUGUAGAUUAUUUUUAGAGUAUCUGGGAAGGACAAAGAGAAAAUAUGUUCAUUUUUCUGCAUUUGCUUUUUCCGUGUGUGUGUGUGUGUGUGUCUGUGUUCAUCUCUGUACUCCCCAAUGUAGUCACACAUGUUAAUCCUUUUCUACCCUUUAAGACCAGAAGAUAAAGUAAGGAAAGGCAAAAAGGAUCAUAAAUAUUUUCUUAAAAUGUUAAAACUAGAUCAUUUGUUAGCUAAGUACAGUUUCUUCUCUGGGACACUGAAAAAGUACUUGAGUCUUUUCUAAAAACGUUUCUUUUGUUCUUAAAGAUAUUUUGAUUUAUUUGAAGCAUUCGGGCAAAGCAAAAGGAAGGAUGGCCUUUCGAGGGAAAUGGUGACAUCGGGGUCAAGAAGGUCACAUGAAGUGGUAGGAUUUGGCUUAUGGUGUGUGUGUGUUUGCACAUGUGACACACAUGUCCUUUAUCUGGUAGAAUUAGAAAAAUGACAUCUGUUUUCUUGAAAGUGAGGGGAGUAAAUGAUUCCAACAGGAUUAGAAGUGUGAUGGAAACAUUAUGACGGAUUUGAUCACAAUCAGGUUUGUUUUUUUCCCCAGCCCAGAAAACACUAAGCUUGAGAAAUAACAAAGGGGAAAAGUUUCCCCUUUCCUAGUCCAGAAGAAAGAAAGUUGCAGAAACAACAGAACAGGAAAAUGUUUGGAAUGAUGCCUUUGUUUUUUUGGCUUAGAGUAGAUGGUUCUAAUGGGCAGGAGUUACUCAUUGCGUCUAGAAUUCUCUCUCUGCUGUGUACAUAAUAAAUAAAUGUUCUACGAUUCCUCGCCCUGGUUCCUUCUUGAAAGCUGAGAGAGUUAAAUUUUUUUUCCUAAUGAUUUUACCUGAGUGUAUGAAACAAGAUAAUAGUUUUUGACGUUUUUCCUUCCCCGGCAUGCCUGAGGGAAAGGACACAUUUCAAUCACUAAGAGUAAGUCAUAGUGGCAGUAAUUUGCACCCAGGUUGUGAAUCUUGAAAAAAGCCCCGUGGGUGAUUUUGUUAUACCCCUAUAGAAUUAUUAAAGUAGGUAGACCAUAGUGAAAUUCAUACACAUACUUUGGCUUUGUAGUUUGGGGGAGUUUUUUUCAAUUAUUUUUUAUUGUAGUAAAUAGACAUAGCAUAAAAUUUACCAUCGCAACCAUUUUUAAGUGUACGGUUCCGUGGUAUUAAAUAUAUUCAUAAUGCUCCGCAGCCACCACCACCAUCCGUCUCCAUAGGUCUUUUCAUGUUGUAAAACUGAAACCAUAUCCCCAUUAAACACUAACUCCCCAUCCUCCCUCCCCACAGCCCCCAGCAACCACCAUUCUGCUUUCUGUCUCUAGGAUUUUGACUACGCUAGGUCUCUCGUGUAAGUGGAAUCAUACAAUAUUUGUCUUUUUGUGACUGGCUUUUUUCACUUAGCGUAAUGUCCUCAAGAUAUGCCAUGUUGUAGCAUAUGUCAGAAUUUUCUCCCUUUUUAAGAUUGAAUAAUGUUCCAUUGCAUGUAUAUACCACAUUUGGCUUAUCCAUUCAUCUGGCAGUGGACACUUGGGUUGCUUCCAUGUUUUAGCUACUGUGAAUAAUGCUGCUACAAGCAGGGGUGUACAUAUAUCUCUUGAGGCUCUGCUUUCAAUUCCUGUGGGUGUAUACUCAGAAGUGGAAUUACUGGAUCAUAUGGUAAUUCCAUUUUUAAUUUUUGAGGAACUAUCAUACUAUUUCCCAUAGCCGCUAGACCGUUUUAUGUUCUGACCAACAAGGUGGGAACAAGGGUUCCAGUUUUCCCACAUCCUCACUAACACUUGCUAUUUUCUGUUUUUAUGAUAGUAGCCGUCCAAAUGGUGUGAAGAGGUAUCCCAUUGUAGUUUUGAUUUGCAUUUCCCUAAUGAUUAGUGAUGUUUAGCAUCUUUUCGUGUGCUUAUUGGCCAUUUGUGUAUCUUCUUUGGAGAAAUGUCUGUUCAUGUCCUUUGCCCAUUUUUGAAUUGGAGUGUUUUUUUAAAUUGAGCUUUAGGAGUUCUCUGUAUUUUCUGGAUAUUUCUCCCUAUCAGGUGUAUGAUUUGCAAAUAUAUUCUGUGGGGUGCCUUUUUAUUCUGUUGAUACUAUGUUUUGAUGCACAAAAUUUUUAAAUUUCCACUAAGUCCCAUCUGUCUAUUUUUACUUCUGUCCCUUGUGCCUUUGGUAUCACAGCCAAGAAACAUUGCCAAAUCCUAGGCUAUGUAAGUUUUAUCUUCAAACAGUCCACACAUUAAAAUAUAAUUUAUCAUUUUGAAUUUCUUGAGCACUUUUUCCUUGUUAAUAUUAUUGUAUAGAUAUUUUUCAUGUCCCAGGAGUGAGGAAAAUAAACCAGGUACAUAUAUUUUGUUUUUAAAAUCAGGAUGUUGGAAGUUGCUAAUCUUUUGUUCUUUGGGCCACAUUUGGAAAACAUCAGUUUAAUCACCCAAAUUAUUCCUUUCGAAACUAAAAAUAAUUCUUUUUAGGGCCUUGUGUGAUUGCUGUCACUUGCCACAAGACAGUAGAUGAAGUUGGUUGCUGUUUGAGGUGGGAGGUGGGAAUAACUUCGGGGGACCGAGGCGGCUCAGGACAGCGUCACCUGAAUGAAGUCUCUGAGCGCGGCAUCUGGGCCCAGUUUUGCAAGGCUUGAAUUCUCAUUCUGUCAGAACACUAAUAAAUGAGUGGAACUGGCUUGGCUAAAAAAGCUUUCCAAAGUCUGGUGGACAAAGUACAACAAUGGUUUACUAAUUUCUAAAGAGAGGGUAGUCCCUUCCAACGACGGAACUAUUGCUGUCUGCCUUCACGAUCAACCUCUGUUUUGUGUCAAGGCACCUAGUGAUUUGAAUUUUAGAAGCCAGAUACAUGUUUGGAGAGCGUGACGUCAAAGCAGAGGGAAGUGGAUUGUAGACAGAGGCAUGUUUAUUCAGGCUCUGGUGCGGCUGGUUUGACAGCAGGCUGCCGAAGGUCCUCACCGCCUGAUGCCCACGGAAGAAAAUGAGGAGAAACAGCUUUUUCAUUCCAAGUAGGAUGGACAGCUGUUUUGAAAGAAAUGUAGUCAUAUAUUGGUAUUAUGUUUUAAAGAUUUACUGAGAUUCCCUGUGCUGUCACGACAGUUUCUGUGAGUUUCAGAAGUAGAGUUUCUUCGUUAGGAGAACAUUCGUUCGUAACGUUACCUAAAUUGUAAGGAAAGAGAUUCCUUCGCUCCGUGCUCUGUUUAUCCCUUUUGGCGGGUUGUGGUGCUGAAAGUUACCUGAAAGCAAUUUGGCGUCCACCGUAUGAACCAGCGUGGCAGGGUGACCAUCACAGCUUAGCACAUGACAGCCGUGUUUGCUCGAGAAGUUACAAGUCCUUAGAGCUAAAGCUACUGAGGAAUUUCCUUAAGCUGAGACUAACCUUUCUGCUCACUGUCUCUAAGAUGUGCUCACAAUUACAGACGCCAUCAGUAAUGUUUCUCGUGGAGGGGAGGAAGGCUGCUAUAGUGUACUGGUGAAAAACAGCUAGACGCUUAUGCAUAUGGAAAAGACUGUAUCUGUUAAGGUUCCAAAUAAUUUUCUCAUGGAGUUGAGUAAUAAGGAAGAAAGAAACAUACAAAGAAAGUUCUAGUUUCUAGACAUGGAGAAAAAAUAAGAGUAAAACAUCACUUAUUGUCACCAAGCCAAUUGCUCAUAGUGUCAUCAUGUCCAUUUGAAGAGAUUAAUGUCCAUACACAAAAAUUAUAAGCACAAGAGAAAGAGUUUACCUUAUGUAAGUAAAUGACUUAAAAUUAAUCCAGGUAAAUAGAGGUUUCAAAUCAACUAAUGUAUACUGGAUAUCUAUUAUGUGGGACCCAGAGAAGACUGCAUUUCUGCAUUUUUUUCCUAUUUUCUAUGUAAAUCUAUGUGCCGGUCAUUUAAAAUUUGUAAUUUCUCAUUGAUUCAGCGUGUAUUUAUAUACUGCCUCACAUGCACGUCUGUGAGAACAUGGUGCUAUGUCUAUGAGAGGAAGUGCUUGAUUGAUUUUGUGUAACAGAAUGACCAUUAAUGGUUGGAUAUCUUCCAAAUUGAAUCUGACUCAAGUUAAAUAGCAAUGGUUAAUAUUAACUAAGAGAGAUUAAUUACAUGCCAGAAGUCUCUUGAAAUAGUCUAUCCUGAGAAAAAGAGAAGUAAUUUGAUGAUGUGUAAGUCCAUAUUCUUUGGGGAUACUUACUUCUCCUCUUCUCGGGAUACAGAAUAAGAGACAGACUCUGAUAAAAUCUUAAUACCAGGUAUCAUUAGCUUAGGUCUUGGGGUUUAUAUGUGGGUGCCUGCUAGACAUUCUUCCCCCUUCAGGCUGUGCUCAUGUUGUUUCCCAUUGCUUAAAACACUUUAAUCAGUGCCUUCCUCUUUCUUCCCCACUUCUAAUUUCUACAUAUUGUGAGAGUCUCAGCUUAGAAGCACUUUCCCCAGGAAACUUUCUGUAUUAGGGUUCUCUAGAGAAACAGAACCAAGAG
ensembl:lncRNA